GAUGAACGCUAGCUACAGGCUUAACACAUGCAAGUCGAGGGGCAGCAGGAUCUAGCAAUAGAUUGCUGGCGACCGGCGCACGGGUGAGUAACACGUAUCCAACCUGCCGAUAACUCGGGGAUAGCCUUUCGAAAGAAAGAUUAAUACCCGAUGGUAUAAUCAGACCGCAUGGUUUGAUUAUUAAAGAAUUUCGGUUAUCGAUGGGGAUGCGUUCCAUUAGGCAGUUGGUGAGGUAACGGCUCACCAAACCUUCGAUGGAUAGGGGUUCUGAGAGGAAGGUCCCCCACAUUGGAACUGAGACACGGUCCAAACUCCUACGGGAGGCAGCAGUGAGGAAUAUUGGUCAAUGGACGCGAGUCUGAACCAGCCAAGUAGCGUGAAGGAUGACUGCCCUAUGGGUUGUAAACUUCUUUUAUAUGGGAAUAAAGUUUUCCACGUGUGGAAUUUUGUAUGUACCAUAUGAAUAAGGAUCGGCUAACUCCGCGCCAGCAGCCGCGGUAAUACGGAGGAUCCGAGCGUUAUCCGGAUUUAUUGGGUUUAAAGGGAGCGUAGGUGGACAGUUAAGUCAGUUGUGAAAGUUUGCGGCUCAACCGUAAAAUUGCAGUUGAUACUGGCUGUCUUGAGUACAGUAGAGGUGGGCGGAAUUCGUGGUGUAGCGGUGAAAUGCUUAGAUAUCACGAAGAACUCCGAUUGCGAAGGCAGCUCACUGGACUGCAACUGACACUGAUGCUCGAAAGUGUGGGUAUCAAACAGGAUUAGAUACCCUGGUAGUCCACACAGUAAACGAUGAAUACUCGCUGUUUGCGAUAUACAGUAAGCGGCCAAGCGAAAGCAUUAAGUAUUCCACCUGGGGAGUACGCCGGCAACGGUGAAACUCAAAGGAAUUGACGGGGGCCCGCACAAGCGGAGGAACAUGUGGUUUAAUUCGAUGAUACGCGAGGAACCUUACCCGGGCUUAAAUUGCAUUUGAAUAAUCUGGAAACAGGUUAGCCGCAAGGCAAAUGUGAAGGUGCUGCAUGGUUGUCGUCAGCUCGUGCCGUGAGGUGUCGGCUUAAGUGCCAUAACGAGCGCAACCCUUAUCUUUAGUUACUAACAGGUCAUGCUGAGGACUCUAGAGAGACUGCCGUCGUAAGAUGUGAGGAAGGUGGGGAUGGCGUCAAAUCAGCACGGCCCUUACGUCCGGGGCUACACACGUGUUACAAUGGGGGGUACAGAAGGCAGCUACCUGGUGACAGGAUGCUAAUCCCAAAAGCCUCUCUCAGUUCGGAUCGAAGUCUGCAACCCGACUUCGUGAAGCUGGAUUCGCUAGUAAUCGCGCAUCAGCCAUGGCGCGGUGAAUACGUUCCCGGGCCU
rnacentral:rRNA from 1 species